UAGGGAAUCUUCCACAAUGGACGCAAGUCUGAUGGAGCAACGCCGCGUGAGUGAAGAAGGUUUUCGGAUCGUAAAGCUCUGUUGUUGGUGAAGAAGGAUAGAGGCAGUAACUGGUCUUUAUUUGACGGUAAUCAACCAGAAAGUCACGGCUAACUACGUGCCGGCAGCCGCGGUAAUACGUAGGUGGCAAGCGUUGUCCGGAUUUAUUGGGCGUAAAGCGAGCGCAGGCGGAAUGAUAAGUCUGAUGUGAAAGCCCACGGCUCAACCGUGGAACUGCAUCGGAAACUGUCAGUCUUGAGUGCAGAAGAGGAGAGUGGAAUUCCAUGUGUAGCGGUGGAAUGCGUAGAUAUAUGGAAGAACACCAGUGGCGAAGGCGGCUCUCUGGUCUGCAACUGACGCUGAGGCGCGAAAGCAUGGGUAGCGAACAGG
rnacentral:rRNA from 1 species